ACGGGUGAGUAACACGUAGGAACCUGUCUUCUAGAGGGGGACAACCAAGGGAAACUUUGGCUAAUACCGCGUAAUCUCGAGAGAGUGAAGCUGCAGCAAUGUAGCGCUAGAAGAGGGGCCUGCGUCCGAUUAGCUAGUUGGUGAGGUAAUGGCUUACCAAGGCGAUGAUCGGUAACUGGUCUGAGAGGACGACCAGUCACACUGGGACUGAGACACGGCCCAGACUCCUACGGGAGGCAGCAGUGGGGAAUCUUGGACAAUGGGGGCAACCCUGAUCCAGCGAUGCCGCGUGAGUGAAGAAGGCCUUCGGGUCGUAAAGCUCUUUAGGCUGGGAAGAAGUGUGUUGGAGGAAAUGCCAAUACAUUGACUGUACCAGCAGAAUAAGCACCGGCAAACUCUGUGCCAGCAGCCGCGGUAAUACAGAGGGUGCGAGCGUUAAUCGGAGUUACUGGGCGUAAAGGGCGCGUAGGCGGUUGUGUGUGAGUGAUGUGAAAGCCCCGGGCUUAACCUGGGAAGUGCAUCGCUAACUGCAUAACUUGAGUAGGUGAGAGGGUAGCGGAAUUUCCGGUGUAGCGGUG
rnacentral:rRNA from 1 species